UUUCACUCCAAGAUUCUUAUAACGCCCUUCCCCCCUACAAGGUUACCUCUUGAAUUUCAGAAAUGAUUACUCAAAGUCCUGACUGCUACCCCAGUCUAAAUAUGACGGAACGUCACCAACGUGAUGAUUUUAGUCUGUGGCCAGGAGUGCAGGCAACCAAUGCAGAGAUGUCGAACCAGAAUUCCAGUGCAGGUGA
rnacentral:lncRNA from 1 species